rnacentral:rRNA from 1 species
GAUGAACGCUGGCGGCGUGCCUAAUACAUGCAAGUCGAGCGAACAGACGAGGAGCUUGCUCCUCUGACGUUAGCUGCGGACGGGUGAGUAACACGUGGAUAACCUACCUAUAAGACUGGGAUAACUUCGGGAAACCGUAGCUAAUACCGGAUAAUAUAUUGAACCGCAUGGUUCAAUAGUGAAAGACGGUUUUGCUGUCCCUUAUAGAUGGAUCCGCGCGGCAUUAGCAAGUUGUUAAGGUAACGGCUUACCAAGGCAACGAUGCGUAGCCGACCUGAGAGGGUGAUCGGCCACACUGGAACUGAGACACGGUCCAGACUCCUACGGGAGGCAGCAGUAGGGAAUCUUCCGCAAUGGGCGAAAGCCUGACGGAGCAACGCCGCGUGAGUGAUGAAGGUCUUCGGAUCGUAAAACUCUGUUAUUAGGGAAGAACAAAUGUGUAAGUAACUAUGCACGUCUUGACGGUACCUAAUCAGAAAGCCACGGCUAACUACGUG